rnacentral:rRNA from 1 species
UAGGACGAUGGCGACCGGCGCACGGGUGAGUAACACGUAUCCAACCUGCCCUUUACUCGGGGAUAGCCUUUCGAAAGAAAGAUUAAUACCCGAUAGCAUAAUGAUUCCGCAUGGUUUCAUUAUUAAAGGAUUCCGGUAAAGGAUGGGGAUGCGUUCCAUUAGGUUGUUGGUGAGGUAACGGCUCACCAAGCCUUCGAUGGAUAGGGGUUCUGAGAGGAAGGUCCCCCACAUUGGAACUGAGACACGGUCCAAACUCCUACGGGAGGCAGCAUG